GCGCUUACAUGGCUGGGUGGGAGGUCCCGUCCCUCACUCCACUCCAAGCUUCAGCAGGUUCAGGAGGUGCAAAGCGCAGUGGCCCCAGAGGUGGCUUGGCAAAGGGAAUUCCCAGGAAGGUGUGGACGCCCGCAUCGGUGCCUUCCACGUGGACCAGGCUC